CUUAAUCCAUCGUGGAUGACAACAGAGCAAUUGACAGCACAGCCUAAGCUGGUAAUCGCUGCUGGGCUGUGAAGUAGGAGAAUAACUGCAGGAGUAUCGCUGUCCAACCAUAUUCCCUUUCUUUUAUUUCUUUUGUGAGGAAACAUUUUUCACGAUGCAUUACUGCAAGUCAGAAAGAUGAAGGGACAUCUGACCCUGCCUAGAUUCAGGGCUGCAGUGAUCUGUUUAUGGGCUCCCACAUCCUGGUGCUAAAACUGACCACUUUCAAGUGUCAUAAUUGGCACUUAACAACUGAGGAAUAUCAAGAUGUAAGAGGGAGUACAAACUGGAGAUCAACAACCUGCACUCCAGUACUAUAGCAGCCACUCUCACCUGUUGUUCAGUGACAGUGGGGAGCACCACCGGCAUGACAGCAGAGGGAGUCUCGUCUACAGGACCUCUGGUAACCACCAGCUUCACCCGAUUGCCACACUGCCUCAGGACCUGGGCCACCUGCUCACUGCCCAUGCCACACAGAGAACCGUUUGCUUUCUGAGUGUAUUUUACCGCACUGGAGUUGGCUGACACUGUACUGGCAGCAGAGGGUGUGCGGGACACCACAGGACUGGCCAGCUGAGGUAUUGGGCCUCUAGCAAUUGUGAGCUGCACCCUCUCUGAAGCAGUCUGCAGGAUGCUAAUAGCCUGCUGAUGGGUCACUGUUUGGUCCAGGGGCUGGCCAUUGAUGGCCAAGAUCUGGUCUGCCUCUUUGAGCUUUCCAUCGCUGUAUGGAAAAGAAGAGGAGUCGUUUAGACACGGGCAUGAAGCAAUUUAUGUUGUCAGAGCCUUGAAGAUUUCAGAAUCUGACACUUUAAUGUUAGUAUCCUUGUAGUUGUAGCACAAAUGUAUCACAUAUAAACUCAAACUUUAAAUUAUGGGUGAAAACAUUUUUUUAUAAAUACUGUGAAAACAUCUGAAUCAGUCUUAGAAA